rnacentral:rRNA from 1 species
GAAGGGACCUAGCGUAGUUCGGAAUUACUGGGCUUAAAGAGUUCGUAGGUGGUUAAAAAAGUUGGUGGUGAAAUCCCAGAGCUUAACUCUGGAACUGCCAUCAAAACUUUUUAGCUAGAGUAUGAUAGAGGAAAGCAGAAUUUCUAGUGUAGAGGUGAAAUUCGUAGAUAUUAGAAAGAAUACCAAUUGCGAAGGCAGCUUUCUGGAUCAUUACUGACGCUGAGGAACGAAAGCAUGGGUAGCGAAGAGGAUUAGAUACCCUCGUAGUCCAUGCCGUAAAC